rnacentral:rRNA from 1 species
UACGUAGGGUGCGAGCGUUAAUCGGAAUUACUGGGCGUAAAGCGUGCGCAGGCGGUUAUAUAAGACAGUUGUGAAAUCCCCGGGCUCAACCUGGGAACUGCAUCUGUGACUGUAUAGCUAGAGUACGGUAGAGGGGGAUGGAAUUCCGCGUGUAGCAGUGAAAUGCGUAGAUAUGCGGAGGAACACCGAUGGCGAAGGCAAUCCCCUGGACCUGUACUGACGCUCAUGCACGAAAGCGUGGGGAGCAAACAGG